rnacentral:rRNA from 1 species
UACGGAGGGGGCUAGCGUUGUUCGGAAUUACUGGGCGUAAAGCGCACGUAGGCGGCUUUGUAAGUUAGAGGUGAAAGCCCGGGGCUCAACUCCGGAAUUGCCUUUAAGACUGCAUCGCUUGAAUUGUGGAGAGGUGAGUGGAAUUCCGAGUGUAGAGGUGAAAUUCGUAGAUAUUCGCAAGAACACCAGUGGCGAAGGCGGCUCACUGGCCCGGUACUGACGCUGAGGUGCGAAAGCGUGGGGAGCAAACAGG